GCCAAUGUCAUAAGACUAUCUUCAACCAAUCACGUUUCUGAAAUCGUUUGGCGCACAAUUUCAGCUAAACUCGGAGAUGACAGUUAGGCCUCACUACUUACAAAACGCGUGCUUCUGACGAAGAGCUACAAAAGACCUUGCUUCAGGACUACCUGGCCUGAUGACUCCUUGCUGGCCCCAGUCCACCUGGCCGUGCUGUUGCUCCAGUUUCAACUUUUAUGCCUGCGGCCAUGGAACCCUGACCUGUUCACCGGAUGUGCUACCUGUCCCAGACCUGCUGUUUUCAACUCUCUAGAGACAGCAGGAGUGGUAGAGAUGCUCUGAAUGAUCGGCUACCUGUUGCACCCUCGACAACCACUGUGAUUAUUAUUAUUUGACCCUGCUGGUCAUCUAUAAAUAUUUUAACAUCUUGGCCAUGUUCUGUUAUAAUCUCCACCCGGCACAGCCAGAAGAGGACUGGCCACCCCUCAGAGCCUGGUUUCUCUAGGUUUCUUACUAGGUUCUGGCCUUUCUAGGGAGUUUUUCCUAGCCACCGUGCUUCUACACCUGCACAGCUUGCAGUUUGGGGUUUUAGGGUGGGUUUCUGUACAGCACUUUGAGAUAUCAGCUGAUGAUGGGCUUUAUAAAUACAUUUGAUUUGAGACAGUGCUGUAUCAUGAAUACAGUCACAGGUAACCUGGAAUGACAGUACACUAGCUGAAGUUUUGUUAAGUAGAUGUUUUUUUUUGCACCUUCUUGGAUAAAAAAAUUUAAAACUUGAACUACUUCAGAACAAAUUCUUAUUUACAAUGACAGCCUUGGAAGAGUGGGUUAACUGCGUUGUUCAGGUUCAUAUUUUUUUUACCUUGUCAGCUCGGGGAUUCGAUCUGCCAGCCUUUCGGUUACUGGCCCAACGCUCUAACCACUAAGCUACUUGGAUAUGUCCAUGAUAAUGACUUUGCUCAGAAAAAGUUGUCUCGUCUCAGCACCGUUCACUCUAUGGUACUCCAGAGAUUGAAAUUCAAAUGUGAAACAUUGUUUCCGAGGUCGGACAGGCAGAAAGCUAGACUGAUAUUAACCCCCGCUGCACCAAACUAAAGGCUAGGCUGGAAGCAAGGAGAAAUACAUGUGUGAGUUGAGAUAAAAGAGCUGAUUUGCAAAGCAACAUGAACAUGAUAGACUUAUUGAGGCCCAGUGAUCAUUUUCAGAUGGAACUGAUAGUAGGCAUAGAUUUGUCUGUGACGGCCAAUGCAGCACGACUUGGAAUCCUGCUCGUCAAAUCAGCAUCCAGGAUCCACAUUUUAUAUAAUUUGUAUUAUUAUAAACUGGGUGGAUUGAGCCCUGAGGUAUCUCAGACCACAGGUCUUACUGGUAUAAUUAUGUUAUUAACCAGUUUACAAUAGCAACAAGGCACAUUGGGGGUUUGAGGUAUAUGGCCAAUAUACCACGGUUAAUGACUGUAUCCAGGCACUCUGGGUUGUGUCGUGCUUAAGAACAGCUCUUAGCCAUUGUAUAUUGGCCAUAUACCACACCUCAGGCCUUAGUGCUUAAUUAUAUGGAUGGAACUACAUGUUCCAGGGAGCAAUCCCUCUUGUCAAAUUUAAAAGGGGGGGGGGGCAGAACUUAGUUUAUUCAGUUCUUUGUUAAUUGGGAUAUUAUUUGAACACACUGGAUUGAUUUUCAUAAAACAGCUAGAGUGCACUAGACCUUUACUGACUUGCCCAUUGCUUGCUCUGUCAGAAUGUUUUAUAAUUGCCAAAUGUACUUCAGAACAGAUAAGGCUGAACCUGUUCAGGGCCUCCUAAAAGUAAUUGUUUUAAUGACAUGGCGUAACAUUUCUGCCAAGGAAGAGUCUCUGCAUGUAUUUAGAUUUGAUGUGAAUGAUACCGAGUGUGUGGAGAAUAACUUCAAUCAGGCAUGUAGAGGACCAACAAGGUUCCACCUGGAAACAUAUAGAACAUGUACAAUUUAUUAAAAAAAAAAUAUUUCCUUGACAUGCAAAACACAGAAUAUACAUUAUACCACAGGACGUCGUUUGCACCUUAAUUGGGGAGGACGGGCUCGUGGUAAUGGCUGGAGCGGAAUAGUAUAAAAUACAUCAAAAAUGGUUUCCAUGUGUUUCAUGCCAUUAUUAUGAGCCGUCCUCCCCACAGCAGCUCCCACUACAUUAUACUGUAUAUUUUACAAUAUACACACACACACACACACACACAACCUGUACCACCUAUUCUACACAUAGCUAUUAUGUACACAGAAGCUCUCUCUUUAAUAGCAAGAGAUGUGGUAGAUAAACUGCAGUAGGUUGACAAGCUAGCUCACUUUGGCAUAUAGCCUCUUGCCUUCGAUAUGUAUUGUCUAGCACCUCUCACUACGAGAUCAUGUUAUUGUAAUCAAAUUCAUUAAAGGAAUACUCAAAAACAA